AAUAUACAUGAUCAUUUCAAGAGAAGCGAGAAAAGAUGAAAGCAGAACGUGCAGCAGAGCGAGAAAAAAUGGAAGCAGAACGUGCAGCAGAGCGAGCAAAGAUGGAAGCAAAGCGCACACAACUUGAACAAAGGAUGGAGCAAUUGAUGGAGCAGAGAAUACAAGCUCAGUUCA